UGUGAGGCUGAUGUGUAGGCAAAUCCGCACAUCGUAAGGCUGGGCUGUGAUGGGGAGCGAAAAUUGCAGUAGCGAAGGUCAUGAGUUCAGGCUGCCAAGAAAAGCCUCUAGCCAGGUGAAGGUGCCCGUACCGCAAACCGACACAGGUAGGCGAGCAGAGUAUGCUAAGGCGCUCGGAAGAACUCUCGUUAAGGAACUCGGCAAAAUGACCCCGUAACUUCGGGAGAAGGGGUGCCUCGGUAGGGUGAAUAGCCCGAGGGGGCCGCAGUGAAAAGGCCCAAGCGACUGUUUAGCAAAAACACAGGUCUGUGCGAAGCCGUAAGGCGAAGUAUACGGGCUGACGCCUGCCCGGUGCUGGAAGGUUAAGGGGAGUGGUUAGCCGCAAGGCGAAGCUAUGAACCGAAGCCCCAGUAAACGGCGGCCGUAACAAUAACGGUCCUAAGGUAGCGAAAUUCCUUGUCAGGUAAAUUCUGACCCGCACGAAUGGCGUAACGACUUGGGCGCUGUCUCAACGAGAGAUCCGGUGAAAUUUUAAUACCUGUGAAGAUGCAGGUUACCCGCGACAAGACGGAAAGACCCCAUGGAGCUUUACUGCAGCUUGAUAUUGGACUUUGGUACGAUCUGUACAGGAUAGGUGGGAGCCUUGGAAAUCGGAGCGCCAGCUUCGAUGGAGGCAUCGUUGGGAUACCACCCUGAUCGUAUCGGAGUUCUAACCUGGUACCGUGAUCCGGUACAGGGACCGUGUCAGGUGGGCAGUUUGACUGGGGCGGUCGCCUCCUAAAAUGUAACGGAGGCGCCCAAAGGUUCCCUCAGAAUGGUUGGAAAUCAUUCGUAGCGUGCAAAGGCAUAAGGGAGCUUGACUGCGAGACCUACAAGUCGAGCAGGGACGAAAGUCGGGCUUAGUGAUCCGGUGGUACCGCAUGGAAGGGCCAUCGCUCAACGGAUAAAAGCUACCCUGGGGAUAACAGGCUUAUCUCCCCCAAGAGUCCACAUCGACGGGGAGGUUUGGCACCUCGAUGUCGGCUCAUCGCAUCCUGGGGCUGAAGUAGGUCCCAAGGGUUGGGCUGUUCGCCCAUUAAAGCGGUACGCGAGCUGGGUUCAGAACGUCGUGAGACAGUUCGGUCCCUAUCUGUCGUGGGCGUAGGAAAUUUGAGAGGAGCUGUCCUUAGUACGAGAGGACCGGGAUGGACGCACCGCUGGUGUACCAGUUGUUCCGCCAGGAGCAUAGCUGGGUAGCUACGUGCGGACGGGAUAAGCGCUGAAAGCAUCUAAGCGUGAAGCCCCCCUCAAGAUGAGAUUUCCCAGUAUGUAAGACCCCUGGAAGACGACCAGGUUGAUAGGUUCGAGGUGGAAGCGCAGCAAUGCGUGGAGCUGACGAAUACUAAUCGGUCGAGGGCUUAUCC
rnacentral:rRNA from 1 species